UGCCACAGCCAUAUCACAAUGCAGCUCAAGAUUGACACUGAAGCUAAGCAGGGCAGAGCCUGGCAAGUACCUAGAUGAAAGACCACAUGGCAAAACUAGGUUGCUGUUGGAA
rnacentral:rRNA from 1 species